rnacentral:rRNA from 1 species
CGGCUUAGUAACACGUAGGAAUCUACCCCAAAGUGAGGGAUAACUGCUCGAAAGAGUAGCUAAUACCGCAUGUGAUCUUAGGAUUAAAGAAUUUAUUCGCUUUGGGAAGAGCCUGCGUACGAUUAGAUAGUUGGUGAGGUAAUGGCUCACCAAGUCUACGAUCGUUAGCUGGUCUGAGAGGAUGAUCAGCAAGACUGGAACUGAGACACGGUCCAG